GGAAGGUAAAAGUCGUAACAAGGUUUCCGUAGGUGA
rnacentral:rRNA from 1 species